AAAUCUUUACUAUUAUAUUGCAGUUGGUCGUACGUCAUACAACGCGUUUGGUGAAGGAGAUUGGGAGCAUCUGGAGCGUCCAAUUGAACAACCCUCACCAAGCGACCAAGGUACACCAUCAGAUUGACCUCGUCCAUCCGCCAUCCGUGCCCAUUGAAAUCUAUGGCAACUAACAAUUAUUACGGAAGUAUAUAUGCCUACAACUAAAAAUAGGGGAUAGUCAGCUCAAAAAAGAUUAGCAGACCGCCACAAUCAUGGGAUUUUUUCCCUUCGCACGCUCUCCACUCUGCAUCUCUCGCCCCGACCCGCCGCCGUCCUCGUCAGUCACGCCACGGCUCGGGGACCCAAUCCCGUCCUCUCCAGCAAUCCCCUCUUCUUCCCUUCCAUGUCGCCUCUCCCCUUCUGUAAGGGCACACCAUCACCACCCACCACCACUUGCCACCCUCAACACCCGACACCCCGGUACAGGUGGCCAAGUCUGGCACGGCGGGUGACGACCUUGGGCACGCGAGCAUGGUGCGGUGGGUGCUAGGCUCGGUGUCGUUGUUGGUCGACGUCAUCAGGUUCGCGGCAUAGAUGCUCCUGAAGCUGUGGCUCACGAGCAUGUAUCUGACAGUGGAUUCGUCAGCGGCGUCAGAUUCGUGCAGGAGGAAGUGUUGGCGCAUUCGACGCAAUGGACCGCCGCUGAGCCAUGGCGGCUCGAGGGCACCGUCGAGAUCCCCGUUGCCAUCUAUUGCAUCUGGAGGUGGUCGGGAUCGGGUGCCAGAGGGAAUUAGCAAUUGCUGAUGCCACCACUGCGGAACCGCUUCCUGACAUACUAUAUAUGCAGUCUCAUCGCUUGAUUUCUGUAAUUUAACAGAAAAAAUUGUGUGGACAUCCAGAUAUGCACUGAUGCACCCUGGUGAUGAUAUAUUCCAUCGAAAACCAUUGUUGAGAUAGAGACAUAGUUUCAAGUCCAGGUAAUUUAUCAUGGAGAGGUUGCCGCCAAAGUGCUCAAGAAGCUAUGGAGUCUAGAAAGACACCAUGGAGUCAUCGCUUCCAAUACGGGUCUCUAUUUUGCUGUUUCCCAACUGGAGGCUACUCACCGAGGACACUAUACAGGGUACUCUUGUGGUGAAAUUUGACUAUAGAUAUCCAUUCAAUUAUUUGAUGUGAGAUACAUGGAUUAAAUGGGGAAAUGAUUAUGCGGGGUUAUGCAAAGGAAAUCUAUAGAAAGGCAAGGUUUUGGUUUUAUUUCCAGGUUAUUAUAUUUUCUACCACAGAUCUACUGUUACACACUGAUUAUUUCUGCACAGAUUUCUUAAAGAAUUUUCAUUGUUCUGGUUCUGAACUCAUUUCGUUGUGCUGUUUUUAUUUUUAUUUUUGCUAGGGUCAAGGAAAACCCUCUAUGGCUGGUUUGCUAAACUUGAAUCACUUGGUUGUGUAAUCAUGAUGUUGGCUAGAGAAUUUCAUCACUACCUUUUGAUAGCUUUGCAUCGUUCAGGCUCUAAUUUUAUUUACUAUGCUAUUAAGAUAUUUUUUGCAAAAUAAAGAAUACUUAAUGCUGACAUCCUAGAGAUUUAGUAAUCUAACUUCAUGUUGUUAGGACAUACAUAAUUGUCAUCUUAUUCCAGUUCUGUAUAUGCUUUCUCGUUAGAGAAAAUAAUUUUGAAUUGUUUUGCUUACCAUAUCUCUCUCACAUUUACAUCUCCUACUUUCAUGGAUUUUUGGCAUUCCGAUCAUACAAAUAUAGCUGUCCAAUCCCUCGAUCAUAAGUGUAAUUUGGUCCUCUUCAAGUAUAUUAUCCUGCGCUAAUCAAACUUUUUUACUUUACGUCUCACACUAAUAUUGUUAACUUUGUUCCUUUUAUUUUUCUGGUUAAAAUAUUUUCUAAUUUGUGAACAAAUUCUAUUGCACUUGCUAUUAACAAUUGCCUAAUGGAAUUGCAACAUUGUAUAGUUUAUCACCUUCAUACUAUUGCUUAAGGCAUUUUAUUAGCCCCCAUAUUGUUUUUGUUUCCGUUAAUGUCCAGCUAAAGUUUCUUUGCCUUGCGGCUAUGCAUCUUUGUCGUCCACGUGUGGUAGGUUAGUGAUGGAUGGCAAGCUCACUGCCACCUUUUACCACUUCGAGUGACUCAUCCUAUUAUGUAUUCCUCCCCACGGUAACAGCUAAAGUGAGUUAUGAAAGUUCAAUCCCUCUCCCCUUCCUCUAGACUUUGUUGUUUUGUUUAGUUAAAAUAUUUAUAUAGGCUUACACAGGGUUAGGUCACAUGCUUACCUAUGGUCAGAACCCAAUUUUAAAUGACAAUUAUUUUUCUUAGUAUGAGUGGGAUUGCUCUGAAAUUUUCGGCAACUAUGUCCUGAGUUACCCUUCAUUUUUCAAAGAUGAUUAUUGGAUAGAAUUUUAAUGUUAUGAAAUUGCAUGGUUGCCAAGAAUCUGAGGCUCUACUGAUAUGGACAAUUUUGUUUCACGAAUAAGUUUGCUCUGCUUUUUUCAGAAAUUUUCUUGUGCAUUGGAACAAGCUGCAACUUGAAAAGGUAACAAAUUUGUACGUAUAAGUAGCAAUAGUAGUAGUUAACCAAGGAGCAUUGCCAUGAACAUAUUACGGAAAAGUGCCCUACAUCUGGUCAUUCGUUAAAUUUAAGAUAUAAGUAUAUCCAACUAAUGUUUGUGUUGCAACCUGCAUGCAUAAUUAUUUAUUCACCAGGGUAUUACAUUAUUUUCACACACUUUUAGACUCUAUUCUAACUUAUUAAGAUUAUAUGAUCAUGUAAUGGGGAAUUUUCUUGAGAUCCGGUAAAGAUCGCAAUAGAGUUAGUGCUCGUAGCGUAAGGUGCUCCUUUUAUGUAUCUUAGACCAUCCUAUAAAGUUAAUACUCCCUCUGUUUCUGUGCUUAGCAUGUUAAUUAAGAAAAGUGCAGUUCGAUAUUUGUGGUCGAUGUUACCCUUGCUAAGUGAUACGUCUCAAGUGUAUCUAUAAUUUCUUAUGUUCCAUGCUACUUUUAUGAUAAUACUCACAUGUUUUAUAUGCACAUUACAUCAUUAUUAUGCAUUUUCCAGCACUAACCUAUUGACAAGAUGCCGAAGCGCCAGUUCCUGUUUUCUGCCGUUUUUGGUUUCAGAAAUCAUACAAAGGAAUAUUCUCGGAAUUGGACGAAAUCAACGCCCAGGGUCUUAUUUUUCCACGGAGCUUCCAGCAGACCGAAGAGCAUACGAAGUGGGGCCACGAGGCGGCCAGACCAUAGGGCGGCCAGACCAUAGGGCGGCGCGGCCAGCAUGGGGCCCGCGCCAGCCUAUGGUGUGGGCCCCUCGUCAUCCCUCCGACCCUGCCCUUCCGCCUACUUAAAUUCUCCGUCGAGAAAACCCUAUCACCGAGAGCCACGAUACAGAAAAAGUUCCAGAGACGCCGCCACCACCAAUCCCAUCUCGGGGGAUUCAGGAGAUCGCCUCCGGCACCCUGCCGGAGAGGGGAAUCAUCUCCCGGAGGACUCUACAUCACCAUUAUCGCCUCUGGACUGAUGUGUGAGUAGUUCAUCCUUGGACUAUGGGUCCAUAGCAGUAGCUAGAUGGUUGUCUUCUCCUCAUUGUGCUAUCAUGUUAGAUCUUGUGAGCUGCCUAUCAUGAUCAAGAUCAUCUAUUUGUAAUGCUACAUGUUGUGUUUGUUGG